rnacentral:rRNA from 1 species
CUCGUAGGCGGUUCAACAAGUCGGUCGUGAAAACCCGGGGCUCAACCCCGGGACGCCGGUCGAAACUGUUGUGACUAGGGUCCGGUAGAGGUGAGUGGAAUUCUCGGUGUAGCGGUGGAAUGCGCAGAUAUCGAGAGGAACACCAGUAGCGAAGGCGGCUCACUGGGCCGGUACCGACGCUGAGGAGCGAAAGCAUGGGGAGCAAACA